UACAGAGGUCUCAAGCGUUGUUCGGAAUUAUUGGGCGUAAAGGGUGCGUAGGCGGUUUGGUAAGUCUCUUGUGAAAUCUAUGGGCUCAACUCAUAGUCUGCAAGGGAAACUGCCGGGCUUGAGUGUGGGAGAGGUGAGUGGAAUUUCCGGUGUAGCGGUGAAAUGCGUAGAUAUCGGAAGGAACACCUGUGGCGAAAGCGACUUCCUGGACCAAUACUGACGCUCAUGUGCGAAAGCGUGGGGAGCAAACAGG
rnacentral:rRNA from 1 species